GGCAACGCAUCGGGCGAAGCAUCGGGCGACGCAUUGGGCGGAGCAUCGGGCGGAGCAUCGGGCGGAGCAUUGGGCGACGCAUUGGGCGGAGCAUCGGGCGACGCAUUGGGCGGAGCAUCGGGCGACGCAUUGGGCGGAGCAUCGGGCGACGCAUCAGGCGAAACAUUGGGCGACGCAUUGGCCGAUGCAUUGGCCGAUGCAUCGGGCGGAGGGCAUCAGUCGGGUUGGAGACGGAGUGGCCCGGUCCCCCUAACAACCGGCCGGCCCGGGCAGGGCGGCGACAUGGAGGAGCCGCAGUAGUUCAGGUCGUUGUUUCAGGGGAGCUUUGAGCUUCGUCGUGUCCUGUUUCCGUUGUGUUUUUAAACUAAGUGGACGUAGCGGCUCGUUCACGUUAUCGUCUCUCUUCUCUCAAACGUUCCCACAGCGAUGCUGAAGAGAAGAAAGAACACUAAGGGUUCACGUGUUCCCUUCGCCGGUCGGUAAGCCCCGCCCCCGACCAUGGACGCAGACAAGACGAAGCGCCAACGUUCAUUUCUGUCAAAUGAACAUCGCACCACCAAAAAUGAUCAUUGUCCUACAUUGUGCGAUAUGUCAUAUAUUGCAUAUGGCGACCUACUGAAGAGGACUCAGCAAGACAGAAAAGUGAAGGGACAUAUAGACAGACAAGGCCAGGAGACAGACAGGUACAGACUCACCUGAGAGCACAGGCCCUGACACUGGGAGAGAGAUACAUUUGGCGUUGUCCUCCACUGGUCCAGUCAUGUGACUCCUUAGCUCCGUCAGAUUGGCUGAAGAGCUUCAGGACUCUGUUGACGGCACCCCACGAACACCUCACCUGUCCUCCGAUGGACAGUCAGGUGUGUGAGGGGAGGAGUCAAAGGCCCGGUACACCACCCUGCCCGACGCCACGGAGGGGGAGGGAGAUGCAGCCGGGGCAGAGAGGAGGGGGGAGGAGAGGAGCAUAGGGGAAAGGAGGAGGAAGAGGUGGAGCGGAGAGGCACAAGGAAGCAUGGUGGAAAGAGAGGAGGAGAGGAGGGAGGAGAAGGUUGGCUGCAGGUCUGACGAAGAGUCAACUUCAAAGGAGCAUCAUGACUGUGGAGAGAGAAACAUUGAUUUAACUACACGCAGUCUACCUCAUCCUUAUCAUCACAUGUCAUUUAUCUGACGCUUUUAUCCAAAGCGACUUACAAUAAGAACAUUUCAACCAUAAGGACACAAACUCAGAAGAACAAGAAACAAGAAAGUGUGAUUUCAUCAAAUAAGCCAGUUUACAACUCGCUGUAGAUAAGAACCAUUAUGAGUCCAAUGUCAGUGCUACAGUUAGUUAGUGUGUUAGUGGAGGUAGAGUCUGAAGAGGUGUGUCUUUAGUCUGAAGAUGUGAAGGCUCUCUGUGGUCCUGAUGUCUUCAGAGACCUCCUUCCACCAUUUAGGAGCAGGACAGCAAAGAGUGGAGAUCUAGUGGAGUGUUUUGCUCUCAGUGAGGAGAAACAAGCAGUUUAUCACAUGCAGAGCGGAGAGUGCGGUCGGGGUGUCGGGUUGGACCAGGUCCUGGAUGUAAGCUGGACCCCAUCCAUUCACAGCGUGAUACGUGAGCACCAGUGUUCUGAACUGUGAUUAGUUGGUGUCAUCGGCAUCGCUGUGGUAGGAGAAGCCAUGCGAGCGAAUGACAGCGCAGAGAGAGUUGGUGUAGAGCGAGAAGAGGAGGAGACCCAGGACGGAACCCUGAGGAACUCCAGUAGUAAGAGGACAAGGUUCCGACACAGAUCCUCUCCAGGUUACCCGGUAGGUGCGGCCGUCGAGGUAGGACGAGAGAAGCGAGAGAGCAGAGCCUGAGACACCAAGUUCCUGAAGGGAGGAGACGAGGAUCUGCUGGUUGACUGUGUCAAAUGCAGCAGAGACGUCCAGAAGGACGAGGACAGAGGAGAGAGAGGAGCUCUAGCACCUCAGGUCUACCGCUGGUUUAGAGCAUCUUAUUAGUUACAAUUAGCUCUCACACAGCGUGUCGAGUGUGUUCCAGGCCAGUUGUUGAUCUGCUUCAGUCCGUCUCAUCUCUGAAUUCUCACAAAGCUCCAGUAACACGGAGCUCGACGGACACACGCAUUACUCCCAGAUGGUGUUAGUGAUGAUCAAUAAUGUUAUUAUCAAACAACAAUAUUCUUAAUUUUAAAUGUGCUCAAGACUUGAAGAAGUAAAAACAUCUGAAUGAUAAAAUGUGUUUACAACUUAAGACAUGUUUGACUUCUCUCUGCUGCUCCUUGAUGGAGCUCUGACACGCUGCUAAAGACACACACACACACACACACACACACACACACACACACACACACUCUCCCUCUCUGGACUCCCUUCAGCUCAGCAGACUAAUUAACUAAUGGGCUGAUCUUUCACUGCCUCUUUGUGUUCACCCGUGCGUGUCUGUGUGUGUGUGUCUGUGUGUGUGUGUGUGUGUGUGUGUGUGUUUGCAGACAGGCAGCUGGGCAGACAGACUGGACCACGAUGUCAUCAGACCAUCCAUCACCUUACUGAGUGUGUGUGUGUGCGCUAACGUGAAGCUAACCGCUAACCCGAGCUCAUGCUGCGUCGGUAGAUGGAUGGAUACACACUUUAUUAAUCCCUGAUAGCAGCAACACAGUAAAUAAAAUGAGAAGAGCAGAACAUAUUACAUUAAAUUAGUGAAGGUGAGACAGGAGUGUGUACAGUUAAAUGAGAAAAUGAAAGACAGUAGUGCAGUGUGAUGAUAUUUGUUGUUCAAAUAUACAAGGAUUCAUCCAGAGGUACUACGCUGUGUUCUGUUGGCAGGAAUGUUUUCCUGUAUCCGUCCGUGUGACGGCGGAGCUGCAUCAGCCUGUUGGAGAAGAUGCUCCGUGUCGCAGCAGUAGGUGGUGAAGAGGCUGGUCCCUGUUUUCAGUGUCCUCCUCCCCACCACCUGUUCAGGAUGCUCCUGUUGGCAGCCAAUGAAGCAGUGUUCAUUUUGGCAGCUAUUUUUGAUUUAGUCUUUAUACGAAAAAUGCAUAUUGUAUUACAUUUGGUCAUUUUAAUCCUUCUUAGUUUUAGUCCCAUUUAACAUCCACAUUAAACUCAUUUUCUUCCCUUCUCAGGCCCAGAGACCCCUGUGGUGUGUCUACAGCUGCAUAAUAGUCCAGCUUGCAGUACUUGGUUGUCCAUCAGAUGUCCCUCCUAGGACAGGCCUAUAGAUGUCCCUCCUAGGACAGGUCUAUAGAUGUCCCUCCUAGGACAGGCCUAUAGAUGUCCCUCCUAGGACAGGCCUAUAGAUGUCCCUCCUAGGACAGGCCUAUAGAUGUCCCUCCUAUGACAGGUCUAUAGCAGGUCGGCAGACUUUUUGACUCGCGGCCACAAUGGAACAAGUGGUUGAAGUGUUUGUGUGAGCUGAUAUAAAUGACAUGUGAAUCAUCACAUGAAAGGAUUUGGAUUUUAACAAAUAGCAAAGCAUUUAUUUGAAAGGCAAUUUAACAAAUUGGCAAAGGUGUAACAACUUCAUGAGGACCAGGGACCUAAACGCAACACUUUGUUGUCUUUGUCUGUUUACUUGAAUGCUUUUGACACUUCAUGCUCCUUUAUUGUUUCCACUGUCCCAACUAAAGAGACCUUAACGUCCUACAAUCGCUGCAGGACAUUAUUUGUGGCGCCUCUACGUUGCUUAGUAACGAGCGUACGGUGGCCGAGACGGUUUAACGUCUUCUCACGAUGUGACGCGUGAACUACAGUAGAAACGCGUGAGGCUUCAGAACCUGCAAUGACUUUAUUACGUUAGACGUGUUUGUGACGGAGCGUCUCAUCCAGCGAGGAAACGCUGCCGUCGCCAGAGAACAGAGCAGAAAGGUCCGACGGUCUUUAAACGUGUCUUCAUGUUUCUGUGAAGCAGCGCGGCUUCAGCCCGCUAACAGGCAGCUAACAGGCAGCUAACCCGAGACAGCUGAGCUAAACUAACGAAGCCGCGUUCAAACUCGCCGCAGCGUAAAAUAGUCGUCGCAGUCCGUAGUCGGUGCACAAGAAGCACCGCUGUGCGCGAGCGUUCUGGGUUGGUGGAGGACGUCAUCAUGACGCGUUAACAUCCGCCGUACUCUGUCUGUUGUCUGUCGUGACUUCGUCAACCACCAUGUUCGUCUCGUCUCGUUAACGAAAGUUAGAAUAGAUUUAGUCAUAGUUUUUAUUUUUUAAGAUUGUCUUCGUCUCGUCUUAGUCGUGAAAAAAAGGUUAACGAACAUUUUUCGUCAUAGUUUUCAUCGGCGAAAUUAACACUGUACAGAGGAGGCGGCCUUCUUCACCAGCUUCUUGGUAGUGGUAUUGCAGCCCCACAGGGAACAGUUUCCCUGUUAUAGAAGCAUCUGAAGAGCUGAGAACCUUGAGGACAUCGUGGUUUACUUACAACCACAGCUCUGGUACCUUUAACUUGCUGCUCUCAAGAUGUCUUCAACCAUUGCGGCAUCUCCACAAACCCCUGAUGAAGAGGACAGGAGGCAGCCAGCAUGCAGGGGGUCCAACAAAGGGACCCUCCCAGCAGGAGGUCCUCCGACCACACAGCGCGUUUACACCAACCGACUCAAGUCAAACGCGUGAUUGUCUCCUUUAGCUUUUUAGUACCGAUGGACGAAGGAAGCCGCUGGAACGACGAUCAUCUGGCUUCACGGCUCCAACGGCCAGAGAAAUAACUGCUGCGUUAGCUGUGUGUGUGUGUGUGUGUGUGUGUGUGUGUGUGUGUGUGUGUGCGCGGCUGUCGUUACCAAAGUCUCCACCCUCUGACCCUUAUUUCAUUGGAGGACACGCUGCUGGACGUCUGAACACGUCUGAGUCUGGAGCUCCUACACGAGCAUCUGAGAGGCUUCACCACGCGUUGGCCUCAGGGGGGUUUUAACCAGAGACACACGAGACAAAGAGACAAAAACUGGACCAGAGACACGCGUGCGUUCAACACACACGCUUGCUGAGUAAAUACUGCUCCACUAAGUUGUAGCUGCUCGUGACGUUUUGACCUCUUUUUGUCUUCAUGCCGCCAGAUCCAAAAGAAAACAUUGACGCCCAACAGACGGUGACCUUUGACCCCUUUGCACCGGCUUCACAUAGUCGGUUCCUGCUUCGACUGGUAACCAAGGCGAUAAAUGAACGAAUCAUCAACUAUUUCCUGUGAACGGACCAAUGAUGCAUGCAAAGGAUGGUCCAGUGGUUCCUACGCUAAAUCAUCUCAGUAAGGAAGCAUUGAAGCUCUUAUCCUGGAGCCACUUCCACUCCUUCACUUCCUUUCUCCCAGUGAGGAACCUUCCUGAGAAGAAAGGACCAUUCAAAUCCAGCCCAGCUCUGCAUCGGAGGCUGGCGUCUAGUCUUCACGCGCUAGUCUAGAAAAAUGGGUCGACGCACGCAAGGAGGUGUGAAAAGACACGCAAGGGACACGCAAGGGACACGCAAGGGGCACUUAACUCAGCUUUACUGAUUCUCCUUUACACCUCCAGCUGGUGACAUGGCUGCUGUGACAUCACAGGGAGGGGGCGGGGCCACAGACGAGAUGAGGUGUUUACAUUCUUUACUUCGAGCCAGCGAGUGAGACGUCUCACUCCUCAACCACGUCAACCGUGGAGUCUUCAGAAGCCCGCUGGUCCAUCAGCUUGCUUCUCAAUGUCCUCAUGUGGGCUUCUGUUGCCGAGCAACUAAUGCAGUUACCAACGUGAGCCAUGUUUUUAAAGAGUCCCGCCGUGAGACAGACUUCAAGCAUUAAGUCAUCAUCACACAGCCGUGACCUCUGACCUCUGCUUGAUUAAAAGCAAUAGAACGGUGAUAUUAUGACCGAUGACACAUUCGUUUUUUAUAUAUUUAAAUGGUUCCAUUUAUUCACAAGACAAGCCUGGUCACAUGACCAGAACCUACAGGAAACAUACAGUGGUAUGAUCACACACACACACACCCACACACACACACACACACACACACACACACUUCCUGUCGCCUCGUUCUCUCCUUACAUGCUGAUGACAUCACCCUCUCUGUACGCAAUCAGCUGUCAGAUGAGCUGAUACAAGAAGAAGAGGAGAUAUGAAACACACACACACACACACCUUUAAAGACCACUAAAUCAUGAUGAAAUAUUCCUGAUGUGCGAGUUAUUAUCGAUGGAUAAAGAGUAUUAUGGAACAUGUGACAUUUAAGACGUUUACUAUUUAACAUCUGGCAGAAACAGAUGGAACCUCGGUUCGAUUCGAGGAAUUCAUCAUUUAUUUCUGUGUUUUUAUGACUCUUUUCUCUACUUGUGUGUAUGUGUGUAUGUGUGUAGGUUAGGGCUGAGCGAUGUGCGAUUCAUCCGUUAUACGCACAUAACCGCACAAUCAUGGUUAUAACUUCAGACCAACAAUUAAUAACGCACAAAUAACGCUCUCUACCAGCGUAAAACACCACGACAACAGCUUGUGACACAAUUACAUCUGCAUUUAUACUCUAAUGUGAUCAUGAGAACACACAUACACACACAUGCAUUUGACCUCUGAAAGGAGGAAACACACACAGACACACACAGGAAGUGAAGAGGGCAGCUGAUUGUUUCCUGCUUGUUCCUCAGUUCAUCCUGAGUGUGUAACAUCUAAUGCAGACAGACUGACAGACAGACAGACACAGACAGGCAGGCAGGCAGACAGACAGACAGACACAGACUGACAGACAGACACAGACUGACAGACAGACAGACACAGACAGGCAGGCAGGCAGACAGACAGACAGGUUGAGGUGAAACUUGAAAUCAUCUUCUCAGAACUCAUUUCUCUUUCUGCUGACUCAGCGUUUCCUCAGCGAUGACUCAGCAUGUGUGAGUUUAUAUUUGAGUCUGAUAGUGUACGAAUGUGUGUCUGUCCCUCCUCCUCACUCCUUCAUCACACGUGUCCCUCCUCCUCACUCCUUCAUCACACGUGUCCCUCCUCCUCACUCCUUCAUCACACGUGUCCCUCCUCCUCACUCCUUCAUCACACGUGUCCCUCCUCCUCACUCCUUCAUCACACUGUCUCACCCCUCCUCCCAUCACACUGUGUCCCUCCUCACCUUUCAUCACACCGUCUCACCCCUCCUCACCUUUCAUCACACUGUCUCACCCCUCCUC
ensembl:lncRNA